UAGGGAAUAUUGCGCAAUGGUCGAAAGACUGACGCAGCGACGCCGCGUGUGGGAGGAAGCCUUUCGGGGUGUAAACCACUGUCAGAUGGGAAGAAACCCGCACUUCCAAACAGGAUGUGCGCAUGACGGUACCAUCAGAGGAAGCGCCGGCUAACUCCGUGCCAGCAGCCGCGGUAAGACGGAGGGCGCAAGCGUUGUUCGGAAUUACUGGGCGUAAAGCGCGGGCAGGUGGUCCGUUAAGUCUUUUGUGAAACUCCGGGGCUCAACUCCGGACAUGCAGGAGAUACUGGCGGACUAGAGACCGGUAGAGGCUAGCGGAAUUCCUGGUGUAGCGGUGGAAUGUGUAGAUAUCAGGAAGAACACCGGUGGCGAAGGCGGCUGGCUGGGCCGUGUCUGACACUCAUCCGCGAAAGCGUGGGGAGCAAACAGG
rnacentral:rRNA from 1 species